GAUGAACGCUGGCGGCGUGCCUAAUACAUGCAAGUCGAGCGAACGGACGAGAAGCUUGCUUCUCUGAUGUUAGCGGCGGACGGGUGAGUAACACGUGGAUAACCUACCUAUAAGACUGGGAUAACUUCGGGAAACCGGAGCUAAUACCGGAUAAUAUUUUGAACCGCAUGGUUCAAAAGUGAAAGACGGUCUUGCUGUCACUUAUAGAUGGAUCCGCGCUGCAUUAGCUAGUUGGUAAGGUAACGGCUUACCAAGGCAACGAUGCAUAGCCGACCUGAGAGGGUGAUCGGCCACACUGGAACUGAGACACGGUCCAGACUCCUACGGGAGGCAGCAGUAGGGAAUCUUCCGCAAUGGGCGAAAGCCUGACGGAGCAACGCCGCGUGAGUGAUGAAGGUCUUCGGAUCGUAAAACUCUGUUAUUAGGGAAGAACAUAUGUGUAAGUAACUGUGCACAUCUUGACGGUACCUAAUCAGAAAGCCACGGCUAACUACGUGCCAGCAGCCGCGGUAAUACGUAGGUGGCAAGCGUUAUCCGGAAUUAUUGGGCGUAAGCGCGCGUAGGCGGUUUUUUAAGUCUGAUGUGAAAGCCCACGGCUCAACCGUGGAGGGUCAUUGGAAACUGGAAAACUUGAGUGCAGAAGAGGAAAGUGGAAUUCCAUGUGUAGCGGUGAAAUGCGCAGAGAUAUGGAGGAACACCAGUGGCGAAGGCGACUUUCUGGUCUGUAACUGACGCUGAUGUGCGAAAGCGUGGGGAUCAAACAGGAUUAGAUACCCUGGUAGUCCACGCCGUAAACGAUGAGUGCUAAGUGUUAGGGGGUUUCCGCCCCUUAGUGCUGCAGCUAACGCAUUAAGCACUCCGCCUGGGGAGUACGACCGCAAGGUUGAAACUCAAAGGAAUUGACGGGGACCCGCACAAGCGGUGGAGCAUGUGGUUUAAUUCGAAGCAACGCGAAGAACCUUACCAAAUCUUGACAUCCUUUGACAACUCUAGAGAUAGAGCCUUCCCCUUCGGGGGACAAAGUGACAGGUGGUGCAUGGUUGUCGUCAGCUCGUGUCGUGAGAUGUUGGGUUAAGUCCCGCAACGAGCGCAACCCUUAAGCUUAGUUGCCAUCAUUAAGUUGGGCACUCUAAGUUGACUGCCGGUGACAAACCGGAGGAAGGUGGGGAUGACGUCAAAUCAUCAUGCCCCUUAUGAUUUGGGCUACACACGUGCUACAAUGGACAAUACAAAGGGCAGCGAAACCGCGAGGUCAAGCAAAUCCCAUAAAGUUGUUCUCAGUUCGGAUUGUAGUCUGCAACUCGACCACAUGAAGCUGGAAUCGCUAGUAAUCGUAGAUCAGCAUGCUACGGUGAAUACGUUCCCGGGUCU
rnacentral:rRNA from 1 species